UGUGACCAGUAGGGGUGGAGCCUGGCUGCACCUCUCUUAGAGCUCAUUUAGGGGCUGACUGCCACUGGAGAGGGGUUUUUUGUUGGAGAUCCCUCCCUUGUGGAGUUUUCCUUGUGAACCUACAUCUUCAGGGAUGGAGGCAAGAGAUGCACACAGCUUCACUUCUGGUAUCCUUGCUUGCUCAUCUAGCCAUUGUCAAGGCAGCUGUCAUCCGGGAGCCCUGGAGCUGCAAUGCAGAAAGCAAUAAUGGGAGUUCAGAUCUGAAAACAGUGCCUGACUCUACUGUACCAUCAAUUGUCAGCUGUGGAUGCUAAAAGACCUAAAAGUUUGAAGUUCAGACUGGAGUUCAGAUGGUGUAUUUUGGCUGGGGUCCAGCAUUACUAGAAAUCCAUCUUGACGUAGAGAGAGCAGCCGUAACAAGCUGGGCUGAUGGGCUGCCAGCCAGGCUCUUCUAAAGUAGUGGAAGAAACCUGUUUCAUGAGUUGGGUAUAAACUAUGUAACAGAGCCAGAGACAAAAUGCAUCCCAACAUUAAUGUCCAGGAUUACCAGCUGCUCACACAGCUUGUCUGGGGGCAUCCAGAAUGCCAGGAAACGCCUGGUAGCUGUUGUAUAUAGACAUAUUCUGUGAGGCACAAAGAAAUUGCAUCAAGGACUUUCAAACUACAAAACAUCAGAAAAUGCUACGAAAUACUUUUGGAAGUCAAAAACACUUUGAGGAGUAAUCUCGGCCUCAUAGGACAGCAUCCAUGAUGCUGGACACUUGGUUCCCAUUCCAGUUUUUGCCACUCAAGUAUGGAUGCAAAAUACAGAGGCAUAUUGUCUGCUGUCAUAACUCAUCUGCGAAGCAGAUGUUUCUUUUGGGGGAAUUAUUCAUGCUAAAGAUCACACUUCAAAGUAAACAAUAAUUGUCAUUUGUUGCCUGUUAAAAAAAGAAAAAAAUGAAAGCUGGAAAUCAAACUAAUGAGUACAUUUCCUCAAGGGAACAGACAGAACUGGGAAUAUGAUCAUUUUGCAAAGCUUCUGAUAAAUACAUAGGUUGCUCUGAAAGAAAUGCUGCUUUAUUUCUGUGGCAACUACACUGGAUGCAAAGAACACGAUAACACUGAUAGAGCACAUUUUCAGCUACAAAACACUUUUUCAACAUAGUCACCACCAUUAGCUGUGUAUUUUUGCCAACUAUGAAGAGGACUCUGCGUGCUGUGCACAAAAAAUUCUGCACAAGCAGAUGUGACCCACUGUUUCACACCUGUUACGGUGGCAUCACUGCUAGGAAAAUGUUGCCUAUGCGGUCCGUCUGAAUAGAUGGAAGUUGGAAGGCACCAAUUCCAACUGUGUGGUGGGACAGUCCAGCCAAGAUUGUCAAUGUGUUCCAUGGUCUUCAAACAGGUACAGGGCCUGGCAUUACUGGAUUGUGAGAGAAAUGUUGUCGUCUUCUCUGGCCUGACUCUAUUAGUUUGAGCCCCCAGCUCAGUGAGCAUUGUGAUGUAGCAGUCAGGAUCUGCACUCUACCUUAGCUUUGUGAACCCAGUUCUGGAUAUAACAUGUCUCAAUUUACACAGGCCAGGAAGUCUGCAAAGAGAGUAAGCUACAGUAGAUUUUCUGAUGAGCCACUGCUUUACAGCCUCCUGGUUAAGACUUCAUUUCAGGAAGCUAAUAUGACUUUAUAAAAACCAAAAGUAGCUGCAUUCGAACUUACUAUAUGGUUUAUCCCACAGGACAGUUCUCAACUACCUUGAGUCAAGUACAGGAUGAAUGGUGUUCUCUAAGAGUUCAUGAAUAACAUGGGAAACCAGACUUGUCAUAUGGUUCUGGGACUCAGACACUGUGUCUCUACUAAUAAGUUAAAUGGUGCCAAGGAACGUUCCCAGGAGCUGGACCCAGUCUGUCUGUCUGUGUAGCUGCACUGCCAGAGCGAUCCUUUUGCCAUAGAGAUGCAGACCUCUAUUUUGAUAUUUGAUAUUUUGGAUUUGCUGAAUGACCACAGCCAACAAAAUUAUUUCAUCAGCUAGUUUCUGACCUUUAAUAUCUGACCAUAUAUUUUAAAGUGUGAGAGAUACCUAUUUUACAUUUACUCCAGCUCCAUAAGGAAUGCUGUACGGACAGGAAUUCAGCAGAAAAUUUCCACUUAUUUACCAUUUACUGUCACUGAAAUUCAAGAAGUUAUUUCAAAAAAUGAGGAAAAAAUACUGUGAUUUCUACUAUUUGUUUCUUCUUGGAAGUUCCAUGGAUCAUUUAUCAAUGAACAAAAGGCUAAUUAAAAGGCUAGACCUAGUGCAAUUACUUUGAUGAACUUUGAGAGUGGUUGUUUAAUGCCAUAGCCUUCAUUAUGUUAUGCUAAAUAUGUUCUCUGCAAGUUUGCAUCCCAAAGAUGAUGCUGUUUUUGUUGGACUAGCUUGAGGAAAAAUGCUGUAUGUUUGAGCUCUUGGGAUGAGUGUCUUACUUGGAAGGUAGGAAGAAAAUGUUGAUGUUCUCUGGAUUUGUGUGUGUUAAAGCUGACAAUUCAAGACGUGUCUGUGGUAGUUUUAUUCCUUAGCUCCUAACAGAAACCUGUCUCCCUGAGCUGAUUCCAGAUUUAUAAGCACAGUGUGUACAUUGUUACAGCACAGAGCGCAGGAUAAUUAAACAGCUGCUUAGCACUGAGCUCCUUCAUUCUUCAAUAAGCAGAUGUUUUGUCUUGUUGCUGAUUUCAAACAACCCACGAUAACAUACUAUAUGCAUAGCAUUACUCAUAUUUUUAAUAUUUUGGUGCUUUCCUAUCCAAAGAUCAAAGCUCCAUGCCCCAUUACAUGAGGUUCUGCACAGGCCGUUAGCACAGAAGAGAUCUUAAGUGAGUGCCAAUCAGUGCGUCUCCACUGAAUCCAGGGGAGCAACAGCAGUUCGCGCUGGCUGACAUUUCCCUUGCAGAUGUCAGACGAGAUGCCAUGAUUUACAUACCAAUGGCGGUGAGUGGGAGGAUGAAGUAACAAGAGGAGCAGAAAUGUGCAGGGAUGCAGAAGUCGGAGCUUGCCAUUUGCCUUUCUCCUGCAGCUGAACAAUGGCAAUCUGAGUUAUUCAUUCCCAUCCACCUCUUAACAACAGGAUUCGCUUCUGAUGAUAUCUUGUGGCCUUUUGAGUAUGUUAGCAGAGGAACUAGAUUCUUUUCUGUAUUUGCCUUCUGUGUUAUCAGACACAAUAAGCAAUUCCCAAAAGGCAGAUGAGGUGAAUAAAGCAAAGUAUCAGGUUAAAUGAUGUAUAUUCCUUAUCCAUUUAGGAAGGUGUUUAUGCAUCGUCGUUUUAUGCUUUGUAUUUGCUGGAUUUAUGAGUGGCAUUUGUGUGCAGAGCCAUGAAAGCAGAUGGAGCCCCGAAGGAGGAGCCCUUCUAUCCCACCCAGUUUGUGGUCUCCCUGUCUGCUGCUGAAGCUGCUUCCUGGGGCAGUGCGUUCAGCUGCUAAGAGCGUGUAAAUAGAAGGAGAAAUAUUAUAAAUGUCAGGAAGUGGCAGCCAGACUGUUCCAAGGUUGCGUACUGCGUGCUUGUGAAGCAAGAUGGCCUGACUCCAUUAUCAGUGUUGUCCAUCAAACGCUGAUUUCCAAAGGUCUGUAUCUUCCACUUACUGAUAUUUCCAUUUGUGUACUUCACUGGGAAGAGUUUCAGACAAUGUUGAUAAUUUUGGACUUCCUGAUCCUUAGGAGGAAUAAAUUUGCCCUGCUAGGGAACGCACUGUUCCUAUCCCUAACUGAGUUAUACGCAUUCGUACGUAAUCUCAGUAUAACUAUAAUGGGAAUACAAUUUAUACUUUAAUUUAUGCUUGUUCUCUGGUUGGGAAAAUGCCCAUGAACUGUGAGGAAGCAGAUCUGCUUGUUCUAUAGAUAAACUGUUGUUGUAUGUGGUUCACAUCCUGCAUUUUUAUGUAUCGUUCCAAUUCCUCAGCUGUUUCCAAUUCAUGUACCUUUCUGAAAGUGAAUGAAGCAGCUGUGCCAAAUUCAGAGCCUGGCUGAGUCCAGCUUCAUGUCUGGAGGAGCUGAAUUUCCCAAGGCUGGUGCUUCACCAUUAACUGAUGCAGAAGAAAUUAGAAUUCCUCUUUCCCUUUCACAUAAUGGCAGAAUUCUGAAAUUAUUGUGUAACAUGCCCUUCCUCCCAUUACACGGUCUUCAUUCUGUUCACCAUUAUUUUUAAUAGACCAAUUUUCUCUCUUGCUUUUCAUCCACCGAGUCUUUACUAUUAUUAUCAUCAAAGUGUCUGUGGGCUGCCAGCAUUUGAUAUUUCAUUUCACUGAUUUAAUUAUGUCUGCAGCCUGUUCUGGGGCUGUUUAUUUUUAUAGAUCUCCGAAUCCUCUUCUUUAUCAAAUUGUUUACAUCUGAAUCCAUUUGUUCACUGUUUAUAUGUCACUUUGCAAUUGUAUCCUUUUGUACUUUGCAUUUGUUCCUGAGGGGUGUUUUAGUUUGAUCAAAUUUUACAACUUUGCAGGCAGACAACUAAAAGGAGAUCUUCCUAUCUAGGGGUGAAAGGCAGCUCUGGACACAGCUAACACCAUCUGCUUUUUCACUUUAUGCUUCCUGUGGGCAUAUGUGAGCAUGGAGCCACGUCUGUUACCAGCUAUUGGGAACUGACAGCUCAUGGGAAGCUGGCAGAGUGUUAGAUUAAAGGAAGAGAUGUUUUACACACCUUGCUCUUCCAUGUGCAGUUUACAUAGGGUAUAAAUACAUAGGUAAUGUAGGGUAUAUGUAAACAGGGUGUUUACUGAGCUUAGUUUAGUUUCCAAAGAAUGGAGGUUCUUUGGCUCUGGGCAGCCUGGUCUAGAGGCUGGCAACCCUGCCUGUGGCAGGGGGGUUGAAUAUAGAUGAUCUUUGAGGUCUUUUUCAACUUUUCAACCCAGGCCAUUCUAUGAGUCUGUGACGCUUUACUGCAGAGGGUUGCAGAAGAGGAUGACAGCUUUGAAUUUUGCUGACUGACCUCCUGUCACUGCAACUACUUUAGUAGUGGUGAUGCACGUAUGCGUGCACGUGCUGUAGUUCUGUUGAGUUUCUUGCUUCUACUAUAAUUAAGAGUCCAUAAAUAAGUGCUUCUAAUGCACUUGACUAGAGAAAGUAAUUGCUAUUUAAAUGGAUAAUUUAUUGUGUGCUAAUUAAAAGCCCAAUAGGUGAGAACAUUUUAAUGAAAUGUAACUUAACUCAAUAAGGAGGUUUUUAAUAAUCAUUAGUUGCCUGAAAUAUACCUGAUGCAGCAGUUCUCUAAUGACAAGCUCUAAUUGAUGUUUUUAACAUGUAUUUAUUGUGGAUAAAUUGCUAUUUUGUUGUAUAUCUCUCUUUCCCUGUCUUUCAAAUGCACAGCUUCCCAGCUGGAGGCCCCAUUGUGCCUUAUUACAGUCUAUUCUUCCCUGCUUUGGCAACCCCUUUUGCUGGUCAACUCAUCUCAGUUACACUCGCAUGAAGCAGGAUGUGAGCAAACAGAUGUGGGGAGCUGCCAGUUUCUACCAAAGAAAAGGUGCUAGCUUUUAAUUUCAGUUGACUAUUAGAACGUACAGUAGAGAUCUGCCUUCUUUCCCUGUUUGACUUACAGUAUGAGGCAAAGAAACCCUCGAAGUGUCCAGGGUUCCAAGUGCUCAUCUUAGAGCAGAAUGAUUAUGCAAAAAUGGUAAACCUCAGUGUCUCUAGGUAAUAAAUUUCACUUUCAAAGAAGGAAGCUUAAGAACAGGCUGGAAAGUGAAUGUGCCUCACACAAUGGAGCAGCGUGCCAGCUUUGUUUGAAUUGAGCAACCUGGAAGAAUCUGAGCUGGGAACAAGUAGCAUCUGAUUUAAGGACUGAGAGAGUAGAUGGCUGAUUUUCUUCGCAAAAAUAGCAUGAGAAAGCUGUACUGACCUUUCCAGGAUGAGAGGUAAUGGCUUAAAUUGCCCCAAGGGAGGUUCAGGUCAGAUAUCAGGAAGAAUUUCUUCUCAGAGCAAUGAGGCAUUGGCACAGGCUGCCCAGGGAAGUGAUGGAGUCACUGUCCCUGGAGGUGUUCAGGAGAAGCAUAGAUGUGGCACUGAGGGACCUGGUUUAGUGGACACGGGGGGGAAUGGGUUCGUGGUUGGACUGGGUGAUCUUAGUAGUCUUCUCCAGCCUUUAUGAUUCCAUAAUUUCACUGUGCUUUUCUGGUGUCUUUUUCCAGCACUGGGCAAUGACUGUUCUUAUGUUUCUGAGAAUUUAAAGAAUGGUCUUCUGAGACUGAAAUGCACAGGACGUAGAGCGGAGGCUGUUAGUAGCUCUGGUGGGAUGGGGUAACCCUUAAAAAGUCACUGCACUUUCCUGGGCCUCCUUUUCCCCCACUGUUAAAUGGAGAUAACUACAUGUUUCCUUCAUGAAGCCAUUUGGUAUGUCUUGUUGAAAAAUCUAUAUAUAAGUGUUCAUCAUUUUUGUCACUCAGGCACUGAUAUAGGAAUUUCUGGAGCACUCCUACAUGUUGAGAAUCACACUGAUACUGUGGAUGAGAAUAUUAAAUUCUGGUGCUGAACCUGGCUAAUUUGAAAAUGACGUAUUUUUCUAGAGUGAUGCCUCAGAUGCAUCUUAUAUAAGAAAAUGAAUUACAUUUAUAGCUAGAAAGGACUGCAGGAUUUUAUGAUCAUCUCAGCACUCCUGUAUUUAGUAAAUUAUCUUGUGUUUGAUUAUGACAGGGUACCUCUUGGCUUAUGUCAAAGUUCUUGUUUCCUGGAGUUCUCCCUGUUUCCUGGAAACUAAACUCUGGUGGAAAGCAUUUGUUACUUUGGUUGUUUUUUUUUCUUUUUCUUUUUUUGGUCUGAUUUGUUUGUUUGGGUUUUUUUUUUUUUUUUUUUGUCUUUUAAGUCUAAACAACCCAUUGGUCCUACAGCUCUUUGGUUCCUGCCACUGAAAGGAGAUACCCAUAGAUUAAAUAGUUAAAUAUGAAACCCCCUUGGGGUUUGAUCUGAUGAAGAUGAUGCUUAUUUAGAGAAGGAGCAAAUACUUUAACAAGUACUAUCCUGAUGAACUAUCUAACUUGACUUCUGAGAAGUAACUAUUAAAUGGAGAGAAGAAACCAUGAAAUGUAAGAGCGAGUUUGAAUGCUGGUAUCAUAAUCUGAUCGUAGUCAUGCAUCAUAAUUAAAUGUUAAUUUAAUUGUGGGCUUCGGAUGUCAUGUUUGGAAUUCUCAGUUUCAAUCCAGUUUUUAUUAAACAAUGAAGAACCUUCUGAAGGAUUCAGAAUAACAGUUCAACAAAUCAAGUCAACAAACAGGGAUCCACUUUAAGGUAAGAAAGAGAAAAUAGUGGGCAAAAGCUGAUAGAGUGCACUGGAUGCAGGCAGAAUAGUCAGAGGAAAACCAAUAGGGCAUGAUUUGGAGAGACAGUAUCUUUCACACAACCAAUAGCAUUUGGAGAAAAUGAACAAGCUUUCAAGCACUUAAAUGCUUCCGCAGGUCUGGCAAAGAAAACAAAAAACUUGAAGCUUUGUCCGUCCUGUAAAGAAAUUAGCGUUUAACUUAAGAUAAUCACCUGGACAAUUAGGGAGACAAAAAGGUGAACUCCUUAGCCAUAACGGAGCAUCUGGGGAUACAAACAAAAAGUCAAGAGUUAAUGUGCCCCUGCAAGCCAGAGAGAGAGGGAGUGGGAGCUUAGAAAGAGCUCUUGGGAAAGGUGGGUACCACCAAACCGUUGCCUCUGCUGGCUCCACGGGUUUUAGUGCCUGGGAGAACUCUGAAUUUAAUGUCCCAAAUAUUUGAGUAGUGUCCUCUGGGGCAACUGGUACAUUAGGACUCAGAAAAUUAAUUGCCAGACUUGCACCUAAUUGUACAACAAAGCAGUAAACCAAUUCUGGAAAACCACAGUGAGGACUAAUUCAGAAGUGUCUUAACACAGAAUACGAAGAACGUUCUUUCCUCCUCUCAGCUCCAGAUUUCUACCCCAAAUGUUAAAGAAGAAACCUUAAACUUGUCUGAAUUACAAGCAAAACUGUCAGCCUCCCUCAAAAUGGGGAAAGAAAGUACUUCUGAAAUGCUUAUGCAUUAUAUAACAUGUACCCAUAUAUCAUUUAUACGGACAUUAGCAACUUGUGUUAUUUCCUCAUUUUGGAGGUGAUGCAUUAAAAGUGAAAAUGCCACUACUGCCAUUUUCUUCUUACAUAAAGCAGCUUUGUGUCUACAGUGCCUGUGUGCAGAUCUUCUCCAUGAUUUUCAAAAAGCUGAUUGAAGGCCAUUGCAGUAGCUUGGGUAGGGUGGCCAAACAGAUGAAGAUGGCAUAUAAAGAGCCUGGUUGGCAGCAAUGCCAAUUUCAUGCACAUGCCCUGCCUUGAUUAAAGUAGAGAUGUUUGCAUAUGUCUUGUGUCCAAAGGCAUUUUUGAUGCACAUCUCCUGCUGAGCCAGCAAAGCUCCUCUCACGCCUAUUGCUUUUGCAUAGCAGAUACACAUUAAUGGAAGCAGUCAGAGCAUGCAUCUACCUGGUUCAUAAUUUGCACAUCUCUGGAAAUAUCCUUAAAAUGCAGACGAAGUUUAAAAAGAAAUAGUAGAGAGUUGCAAAAAAUCCAGAUUAACAGUUGAAAGUUGAAAUAGUUUAUCCUCUUACACAGGGGUAUUAAUUACAAAGCGUAUCUUCAGUCUCAUUUGCAGAGUUUCCCUUUCGCUAUCUGGAACCUGAAGCAGUAGAUUAAUGAGAGAGGCUGGGAAGGUGCCACCUUGUAAGGAGCUGCAUGGAAACGAACCACUUAAAAGGCACAAACAAGUUUUAUUGCAACUGUCAAACCUAGGAACCAUAGAGGACAAAACACCACUCCUAUUCACAAUGAAGGAGCCACCUCCGAUAGCAAGGCUUUGCCACCACCGCGGGACACCGAGUGCCGUGAGCGGUGCUGAACUGAGCAAUGAGGAGGAGAUGGCUGCACACAUAGCAUGGAAGCUUUGACUUUAUGGUGUCUCCAACUCAGAAAAGCCUGCUUGUGGACCCAAAGCCCAGAGGAGAUACUUGCUAUAACUGCCUAUAAAAGGAGAACGUGAGGGCAUGCUGUCAUCCAGCACAAGUCUCACCUAUCAAAAAGGAAAAACGUACUGAACUGAGGGAUCCAGCAUGGAACGAGAUGACAGGUGAGGCACAGCAACACAAAUAGGCAGCAGUGAAUUGGACAAAUCUGCCACCUGCAAGCAGAGAGCAUGAGCUCAGCUAGUGCAAGAAUCUGGUGGCUCUGUGCUGCCCUGCUGGAAGGUCUCCUGACGCCUCCGGACUCCUGCUUCCCUGUAACCACUCCAGUCUCUUCCUGUCACAAUGAAAUCAUUCCUGCUGCAGUGAAGGGAUUAAUUAGGUCUACCAGUACUUCACUACCCUCAAUCCUAACUGAAAAUCAGACAGCUUUUCCUGUUUCGCACGUCUGUGCUCAGAGAUGUGACUGACCUAACGCUUGGCACCUUAGAAAAAUCAUGCCCCAGUGUGGAUCAAGACUCAGGAAACAAAUCCUCUCCAUAACUGCGCAGAGCAGGGCAUAAGCUAAUGCCAGAAUGAUGUGAUGCUUGACGCUUUGACCUUGCUUUCUGUGCAAGACUCUCCAAGCUUCAUACCACUGGGAGCGCAUCAUUUGUGACGAGCAAAAAAGUCAGAGCAACUGGUUCUUAAAAGAUUUGUCAUAGUUUUGCUUUAAAAAUAAUUCAUCUCAUAGCUGAAUUCAGUAUUUUGGGUCAGUUAUAAUUGAAUCUGCUCAGACAGAGAAGUUAUAUGAGACUAAUUACCUACUGUCUCUACUCGAAGUAAAUAUUAAAGGCAAGAAAAAUAAACAUGGGCUGAAGUGUGAUAUGCAAAUCACAUUGAUAACUAUCAGGUUAAGACCAUGAAUUUAUAUUCUUUUAAUCAUUAUGAGGUUUAGAUGGUAUCUCCAGCAAAGAAAAGUCAGUAUGAUGGUAUAUGACUGUCUAUGAUUUGGUCCCUAAUUGCAAACAACAAAAAUACAUUAACCUGCUUGUAUCCUGUGUCUCAUUAUUGUCAUAAAAAUGAUAAGAAAAUUCCUUCUUUGUGAAAUCCAAGCUGCUUUACUCUUUUCAAGGACUGCUUUUGUAAGAAAGGAGAGUAAGGCUUAGGUCACUUAUACUGAAUAUAAGGUAGAGGGAGAUGUUUCAGAAGCAGAGCACUUUAAACAUCUUUAUUCCUACCAAAGUUAAUAAAGUGAAGCCAAUUCUGAGCACUUCUUCAAGCUGCAAUGGAUUUGCUAUUAGUUUUCCUGCAUGAAAAUAUGAUGAAGAACAUAAUUGGAGAAAAGAUAGUUCGAGAAAUAACUUCACAAUGGCAUUACUCUCAAAGAAAAGACAAAAUCAAAAUAUCCUGGGUCUGGUUAAGGCAGGCAAGGACUUAAAAUGAGACUGGGCAUGAAAGGGAUGGAGAAAAGAAUGGGGUGUAAGUUAUGACAUUUUCACCUUUUCAUAUGCAAAUUCUUGAUGAAAAAUCCUUAGAAAAAGAAGCUAGAGUAACUUUCAAAGAUCAGAACUACCUUCUUUUCCUUUUCUCCUUUUUCCUUUUCCUUCCUUUUUUUAACUUUUUUUUUUUUUUUUAAACUUUUCUUCUCUGUUCCUGCAGGGAAGUGUUUAUAGGGACACAUGAGAUCCUGACAGACAUUUCCACUGACCCUCUUACAUGAGAUUUGGCUCAACCGCUCUCCUCUAAGACGGUCUGUGAUUUUGGCAGCCCGAGGCCCAGGGUCCCUUCCAGGGCUGCUGGGCCUGCAGCCACCAUACUGACAUUGGCCCCUUGUAACUGGGAACAGUUAGUGGGAGCUCCUAAAAAUACACAGAAGCAAACAAGGAGCUAAUGCUGCUGCUUUGUGCUCAGAGAAGAUGCAUUAUUCAUACAGUACAUAGACAAAAUAGAGAGAAGAUGCCUGGCAAAGCCCCCAGAAUGGCUUAGUUACCCUCGAGUAAAAACUUCUAUUUGUUGAGUAGACUCCAUAAAUAUAGCAGGACUCCUGAAAUGUCCAGAUGUUUCUGAGCAGAUGAAGAAUGUUCUCUUUCUGAAAGCUUACUGAAUUUUUUAUUAUCUCAUGCACUGUUUGCGUGGGCAGGUCUUCUGAGUGAGUCAGAGCAAACAGCAAUCACUGCUGCAGGUAUCCAGCGAGAGAGGACAAUUCCUUAACCUGGGAGCUCCUAAAGAGGUCCUAACGUGCAGAGUGCUGAUACAUACACAGAAAAUAAUCACUGAAUCAAUGAGCUAAACUUCUCUGAGGGACCUUAACGUAGCCGUGCUGUAAAGAAAGGAUUACUUAGCAUUGAUAGCCAUGCCCUCAGAUAUAGCCGUGGUGGUGUGCUCUCAGGCACACAGACCUCGCUCUUCCAUGGGAGACACAAUGCCAUAGGAAGAUUCUGGAGUUAAGGCAGAUAUUGAGUUAGCCCUCUCUAUUGAAUUGGAGUUUUUGCAGAUGGGAAAUAGUUUCUUCUCCAUGGUAAUUCUUUAGUAAUGCCGCUCCACUUGGACCAAUUUAAACUGGAAGAAAAAGGUCUGCCUGUGAUAUCUCUGCCUCAGUAGGACAGCAUGACCAGAUUUAUAUCUUUACCUUGCAUUUUUGUCCGGAGGGCUUACGCUUUCAUCUGAUUAUGCUCUCUCUUGUGAGAUUCUCUCUAUGCUUAAAAUAGAAAAUACCACUAACCCCAGGACUGCUGAUAGGGCCGGAGUGCCUCCAAACAGCAGUCUUCUGCGUUCACUCUCCCUUACACCAACCCUGCAUCUUCUCUAUUUCUGCUACUACCACCAACUUAGUGCCAGCCAUAUGUAUUUAAGGGGUUGAGCUGGCUUCCUUGACUUGAUAAUCAAUGUGUGAUUAUUUUGUGGUUUUCCAUGUGGAUUUUAGUUUCUCCAGUUCCUGCUUCUAUUGCACACUAAAGAUUUCAUUUACUCGAAUGCUGCUUUUGUAUGCUUUCUUUAUGGAGCAUAAAAGAACCUAGAAUGAUUUUUGAGUGUGUCUAUACGCUUGUUAUAUGUAUUUGUUCAUGCUUUUCUGAAGCUACACACACCUGCACGUAUAUAUGUAUUUACAUUCCUGUAACUGUGUGUAACCAAAAUGAGAUGAUGAGCUGAUGAAGACCACCAGCAAAUAAUAUAAAAUAAUAUAGUAGUGCAACCUUAAUGCAGUGUUCAGAGUUGCACCUUGACUCCAGCCAGGACUGAUCAGACUCUGCUUAGUUCUGAAACAUCAGUCACUGUGUAUGACAGCCUCCCUCACCCCUUCUCUCCCUUUGCUCUUGUAAUGCAUCCUUGCAUGUAAGCCAGCUUGAGCAGCUGGAAGCUUGACUGCAACCUAACCCCAUUUUGAAUCAUGCCCAAGAUGCAACAGCCAGAUUUCUUACUGCACUAUUUUAAAGCAUAGAUGCAAGAGGCAUCGGCAUCUAUGUUUUGUGGCCCAGCAAAUGUCAUGGCAAGGCAAGUGGGAUGGAUGGCUCCUCCCCAGGUGCAGGGUUGCAAAUCCAGUUCACCCCUUCCCUACCCCUCAAGCCAUGUGGCAGGCUGUCUGGAAGCAUAGCAUUGUUCAUCACAUUAAUGUUCAGCUGUCGUGGAUGUGAAGAGGAAGUCAAGGGCUCACAGAACAGAAGAGAUGGACAGAGCAGACCUUUGAGGAGGAACAGCUUUGCAGCUUAGCAGUCAGCACACGACCUGGGGAAAGCCAACAAGGAGCUGGGAGCACUUCUUAGACACACAACAUUAAAAAGCUGUUACGUAAAACCCAGAAACCAUGCAGGGUCAAGAGGCAGGACCUGAAGUUUCUCUUGCCAGCCCUGUGCUCACCUUCAUCUUCCCUGCAUCAUCACUGAUAGCUCUCCUGUCUCUGUGCAGUAAGGUGCCCUUGCCAGGAUAUCUGUCAUUUUCAUCAGUUCCCAUCGCUCAGCUCUUCAAAACUUCCUACUAGUGUCAUUUAGGCUCUCUCCUUCUCAUUGGCUCCUUCUAGCUGCUAACAUAUACCAGCAAUUUUCACAGUCGCCUGCUUUCCAUCUGUUACAGUUUCACUGAUGUUUUUUUGUCUGACUUCCUCUAUGAUCUCAGCUUGCUUUUGUUGAAGUUAUACACUUUUCCAUCCUUGCUGUGAGUUUUUGGAUUUUUAGGCAUCAAAUAAAAAAUCUCUAAACAGUUCUUAACCACAUUUCACCCUAUUUCAGUUACAUCUCACAGAUGAUUCAAUUCAUAACAGCUUUCGGUUUGGUGACUUCAGAGGUACACAGAUAAUUGAUUGGGAUUUUUUCCUCAUGGUAUAUAAUGAAUGUAAUCCAGUCACGCUCUCUUGCACCUUAAGUAUUUCCUAACUUCCAGGCACGUGGUCAGUCCUUAAGCAGUAGUGCUCCCAGCUCUGCCAGCAACACUUUAAAAUGCCCUUUAUAAUUUCAAACAGUUCUGAUGCUGGAGUAUCCCAGCACAAGCCCUCCUGCACCUGCCAGACCCUUGCCAGCCCACCUGAAAGCUCCCCUCCCAGAGCAACAGGAAAGGAGCUCCAUUUCCACUUGGUUGUGCAGUUUCCCUGUCCUCAGCCAAGGGGAUCCUUCACCAUGUGUGCUGACCCUCUGGGCUGUGAACCUGCUUCAGUGUUGUCUCCCUCUAAGUGGGCCACGGAACUUUGAUUCUAGCAUUUGCUGCCCUCUUGUUUUUACGCUUUCCAAAUCAUCGUUACUGCUUUGCACAUACAAGUUAUAUGAAGCUUUUGGGUUUCAGUGGCAGAAAGGCCAAGUAUAUGUUCAUAACCGAACAGUUCCAGUUCUUUGGCAAUUUAGAACACCUCUUUCAGUCCCUUGGUGUCCUGACCUCACAUGGAGCUGAUUCAAAUUUUUAAUUCAUCCCGUGGCUAAAAGCUUCUUGUCCUCAGUGGCAGAAUGGUUAGAAGGCAUUUCAAGAUUGCCUGAAGACAACCGCAUUCAGGACUACUCUUUGGCAGGGAACAUCUCAAGUCAUGCAUCCCUCACGGCCCUGUCUCCAGAGUUCACGCUUGGUAUGCCUACACUUGAGAGAGGAGCUGCAGGCCCUCAGGGUUUUCUUUCAUCACUAAGGACAAAGGCAAGAGAUGCCAAGCAGCAUCAGAAGAGCCAAUCACAGUGCUAUGAACAAAAGGUCCCCUAAUGCCUUGGAUAAGACCAGCAAUUUCACAGUCUGCAGAAGGGAACGACUGAGGAAAUUCUGUGGAAUUCAGUAGAAAUCCUGAACAUUUUUCAUUACGAUAAUAAAAGAAACGAAGCGUUAAGUGGGAAGGAAAGGUGCUGAAGGCUACAAGAAAAGCAUUGCCUGCUUUACCAGUAACAGUGGUUCUGAGCAGUAGGCCUAGGUGCCUAGAGAAAAAGGAGCGUGGGCUUCGCUGAGAGGCCUACAAUGGCACCGAGGAGCCUUCAGAGAUGAAUGGCAGCUGAUUUCCCACAGAUCGAUGAUUUCCUGAGACAGAUUUCAUUCUGAAGCAGCGAACACAAAAUUUACAUAGCCAGAGUAUUUUUUACUGAAGUGAAAAUUGAAACAGCUAAACUGUGUUUAUGCAUGUGUAUGCAUAUGUAUCAACUUUCCUUCCUCACUUGACAUGAUUGCAAAAGAAAUUUCCAUCCUGACUUUUCACACCCACAUGGGUACAGGAAGAAGAAAUUUAAAGGUUGCUUGAAUUUAUGUAUCCACUGUGAAAUUCCUGAGUACUGAAAAGUACAUGUUGGUGAGGAGAUAUGAGUGCUGUGUAAUUUACUGUGUGAGUGCUUCCAAGUGAAAUGUUACUGUACAUCACAUCGCACUUCUUACUGAGUGGGAGUUCACCUUGCUUAUCUUUGGCCAAAGUUUUGCAGUGACAUUCGCUGUGCAAAACCUACCCUUUACCUUAGCUAAGUGGUGCUAUAGAAGCAAUAGUUAGCAGCUGGAAACACCUAAACAGCAUGGAGCAAUUUCCUGUGUUUAACAGACAAGAAUGUAAUUUUACCUAUAUAGUUAUUUGUUUCAAUUUUAAGUUAUUCAUUGGAAUCAAAUCAUGAGAAUAGAGUACUUCCAGUAAUUUCCUCAAUUAGGAAAUGAAACGUGAAAUUCUUAAAACCAGUUUUACAAUAAGUAGUGGAGGAGAUGCUCAAAAAACCUCUGACUGAGACUUAUUCAAUGCCAGAGAUACUCAGAAUGGGCUUUAAACCAUAAAAUUCACACGUUAACUUGAAUUUCAUUUCUGACUGGUUGGCAUGACUGGCUUAUCACCAUGUCUGUGUGUUUGCAUGUCUAAGUGUAAAUAAGUGCAUUUUCCUUGCCUUAUAAAGACAAUGUCAUAGAUUUGACUUUUCUGCCUUGGGCAGCAAGCCCCACAGAUGAUUAUAUGGGGAUAAAACAUAUGUCAAAGAAAAUGUUUCUUAGCUCUCUUGAAUGCAGUGCCAAUUAUGUCAGGCUAGCUCUUACUGCUUUAAAUUAAAACCAUACUUCAUCUCAGAAUUAAUUUAAUUUUCUGGAAUAAAUGCGCUUAAAAAAUCCAACUUGGAUUCUCCAAAGGAUAAGGGUCAGCUAUUCAGGGCAUCUGAAGAAUAGCAUAAGAGUCAUAUUCAGGCAGCCUAAAUUCAACCCGAAUCACUGUGCUCAGGAUUUCUUAUCAACCUGCUGUAAGUCUGUAGAGCACAGGGACUAUUCGACUCCUGGACCGAGAUGGAAUUUAAAUCCUGGAUAUUCAGCAAACCAUUUCCUAAUUCUUUAUGUUACUGAAGGAAGUGACCCUAGCAAGACUUGAUAGGCAUUAAAGGGUGGCCUAUUUAAACAAAGGGCAGCCCUCAGUUGUCAGUGAUUUUCACUAGUCUUAAAAGAGGAAAACAAUCCUUAUAUCUAUUGAAAAUCUACUUCUGGAUCUGCCCCCUAAAACAGUAUUAUCAGAAAGAUGUAUUUCCCUUGCUUUUGUAAUGCAAAGGAAUCAUAGACAUCUUUGCUUUAAGAGGCAAGAAAGGUAACUAAUUCUAUACUGUCAAAAAUUUUAUCUUUUGAAAAGUAGGGUGAUGAAUCAUAGCCAAAAAAAAGCCCCGUGGCCCCGGCUCCAAAAACCAAACAAUCCAGCAAAAAUAAAGAACAAACCAAAUCCUAUUGGUUUGUCAUCCAUCUGUGUUUCAAACAAUCAGAAACAACAGCAUCACGUAUCUUCUGGUCUAUACCUCCCUGGCCAUUCUAAUUAAUACUGGCUCAAGGCAGUAUUUAUUUCUUAGCUCGUGAGAUAAUAGGUUAUUGACUGACCUGUGAGGUAAUAGCCAAUUCUGUGUCUCACGUAGGAAGUGAUUGUGUGGAUUGAAGUUUGCCAUUGAUUUUGCUUCCAUACACUCAGGGGGACCAUCUAUAUAACUGUCACAUAAAUAAGAAGAAAAGGCCCUUAGUGACAUUUACUGACUUCUGAAGAUUCCUCACCUGCAUCCACUUGACAUUACUGUGGCCAGACCAAAAACCCACUGAACUCACCACUAACUUCAGUGCAGUUCACCAGACCUUCCUUAUAUGAAGCAGGGAAAUAGGAAGAGCUGACAACCUGAAGUCAUGGACUGGUGCAACAAUAAUGUAGAUUCUACAUCUUCUUCAUCCUGUGCUAUUUGCCAUCUCCUAACUGCACGGAUUCUGAGGACCCAUGAGAAGCAUGAAAUAUCUGUAGUGGUAUCUUAAAGGACUGAAAAAAAGCAGAGAGAGAUUAAAAUCAGAUACCAGUGGAGCUUUAAGUGCAAUGAAUUGAAAGGAAAUAAGGAAAGGUGAGCAUACGAUCACAAACACAGAACUUGGUACAAUUUAGGAGCUCCAUUCUACUGAAAGCUUCAGGAGUAGACAAACUGGUGUCACUGCAGAAUAUUUGGUAAAAAAGUACUUGUUUCAUCUGUAUCGUUUUGGUUAUUCAAAAUCAUAAACAGUGCCUUGGAGAGCAGAACGAGGAUAAAUAGAAAAGUUUCAGCUUUUCUGAAACACGUAUUUCUGUAAUGUGCUUCAGAAAGAAGGAGGUUUCAGUGAGUCAGUGUGCUGCUGCAAGAGUUGGAGUUCCUCUGGUAAAUUUUUGUCACGGUGGUAAUUGCAGAAAUAAGCAGUUCCUCCACCACUCACCCAUUUAUACCUCUCUCAAUAUUAAAUUAACUAACUCCCUUUUGGGAGCCAUUUGGAGAAUGAUCAGCAAAAACCAAACGCAGAAAAUUACUGAAAUCUCUGUUGCAUUCUUCUGUUGGUAUUACUGGGAAAUAUCAUCCGUUUCUUCUGGCCAGUGAUUUUCCCAGAUGCACAGAUCAUUUGCUGGCUGCCCUGCUUAGACCCAUGUCCUGUCUAAAGCCAAAGCUUACAAAGGCUCUUUGAAAAGUCUUUUUGAGACGGUGUGCUGGCUAAUUAAACAUUUAUUAAACAUCAUAGUAGCUUGAGAAUUAAUUUCACCUUCCUGUUUCUCAAGCCUCAGCUCUUUUCUAAGCUUUGACUGUACCCCUGACUUCAGCUGCUUGCCUGGCUUGGUUAGGAUUUCCCAGUUUGCUUGUACACCUGUGUGUCAUUUGCAGGGAAGAUGCUGCUCAUUAAGAUACACGAUGGGGAUCUUAAAAGGCAUUCAUUUAUUUGACAAAAAGGCAUAUUGGAACAGUACUACUAGGUGGCACGUGCACCUUGUUUUUAUUAAGUCACGUAGUAGGGAAAAAAUUAAUAUAAAAUCCAAGGAGAACAUUGAAAGCUAAUUUGCCUUAAGGUACAGAAGCUUCUGAAAAACUGCUAUUUUUUAUUCAAAUAUUACAGGGACAUAGCAUUUUUAUUCUCUCAUUUAUGUCAUUUAGGAUAGCUAAUGAUAUAUUAUUACACGACCCAAAGCCAGCGUUGCGUUCUCUUCCUUGUAUCUGGUACUGCUUUUCCAACUACUUUGUUCCACCCAAACCAUUUCAGAUACAGUCUCAAUUACAGAAAAUAAUAGGAUUCCUGAGGAGGUGUAAAUGCAUACCGUGGCAUGGCUGUCCUGCACUGAAAUAGCUGAAGAGCCUUUCUGCAUUUCCACAACAUGGGCUGAGGGUGCUCACGUGCCUUCCAUAGAACAAUCUUCAAGGAUUUUGUGCGACAUCAACGUGCUAAAUACUAUCUGCCUGAACUGGGGAGGAUGUCUCACAGUUUAAUUGAGCACAUUCAUUACAAUUGCCAAGGAAGGACCAAUAUCUGCUUUCUUUUCCUGUGAAUUCAAUACAGACCCAACAGCAACUGUAAGAUCAAAUCCCAAGGCCAGGUAUGGGGCAUUUGUUAUAUGAUAUUGAAUUUUUCAGCCAAGGCUUGAGCAGGUCAUGCUAAUUAAUGAAGAAUUUUCAGAUGGAUGCCCAUGAUUUCAAUGAAGCCAAUGCUUUUGGGAAAAAAUAGUCUGCAACGUCAAAAGAAAUUGGUUCUAUUUUGUCAGAAUAAAUAAUUUAAAUGAAGUACACAGUAUUUGUAACUUGACUGGUAUCCUGUCUAUU
rnacentral:lncRNA from 1 species